UACGGAGGGUGCGAGCGUUGUCCGGAAUCAUUGGGCGUAAAGGGCGCGUAGGUGGCCACUUCACGCGUGCGGUGAAAGUCGGGGGCUCAACCCCUGAUCGGCCGUGCGAACUGGGGGGCUGGAGCACUGUAGAGGCAGGCGGAAUUCCGGGUGUAGCGGUGGAAUGCGUAGAGAUCCGGAAGAACACCGGUGGCGAAGGCGGCCUGCUGGGCAGUUUUGCUGACACUGAGGCGCGACAGCGUGGGGAGCAAACAGG
rnacentral:rRNA from 1 species